CCAAGGAUUGCCAGAGAACAGAAAAAGCUGGAAGAAUCAAGGAAGGAUUCUCCCCUGGAGCCAUCAGAGAGAGCAUGCCCUGAUAUCACCUUGAUUCUUCACUUCUACCUUUCAGAAUUGAGGAAGCCAGCUGCCAUGCUUUGAGCUGCUCUAUGGAAAGGCACAUUUGGCAAGGAACUGAUGCCUCCAGUCAACAGCCAGCCAGGACUUGAGACCAGGUAAAGCCUGGAAGCUGCACGUCCAAUCCAAUUCCUAGAUGCUUUCUCCAGUUAUGGCCCUGACUGGGAUCUCCGAAGAAUGACUCAGCUGAAACUGUUUCAUCAUUGCCUACAUUUGUCUUCAGACGACCUGCAGUACAAACUUGGCUUAAACCUGCAGUUGACAAUGGAUUCACCGUGGGAGAAUAAAUUACAAUGGAUAAAAAACAGCAUUACAAUCCCUCAAUAAAAUGGGAUUUUAACAGACAAAGGUCUCUCUCUCUUCUAACAUCAAUGCAGCUCCUGGUAUGUGGUCGUUCUCAGGCCCAAAGGCCCAUUUUGCUUUUGGCUGCAACUCUGUAACUCUGUAACAGAGACCAAGUGCCUGCAGGGAGCAGAUGUUUGGGGCAGUAUCUGCUAAGGUGGCUUUGCUGAAACUUGUUUCUCUCAUUGGGUCUUGGAAGUGGCGAAUAGGACGUUCCUAUAGAAAAACUCAGAAAGGGACUGUGAAAGAUAAUCUUAAAGAGGCACUCACGAAACACAAGCUCCUUCUCCGGGAAAAAGAAUCAUCACCCUUGUUAUCCCAUGAAAAUUCAUCUUCUCCUUUUCAGCUGAUAUGAGGACUUGAUCUGUCCUUUCCUAUAAGUGCCAUCUGUGUUUAAAUGAGGCUGUUACUCUAACUCAAAGCAGACUUGCAAGAGUAAAAUAAUCAAUCUUCAUCAUAU
rnacentral:lncRNA from 1 species